rnacentral:rRNA from 1 species
AUUGAACGCUGGCGGCAUGCCUUACACAUGCAAGUCGAACGGCAGCACGGGAGCAAUCCUGGUGGCGAGUGGCGAGCGGGUGAGUAAUACAUCGGAACGUGCCCAGUCGUGGGGGAUAACGUAGCGAAAGUUACGCUAAUACCGCAUACGAUCUGUGGAUGAAAGCGGGGGACCGUAAGGCCUCGCGCGAUUGGAGCGGCCGAUGUCAGAUUAGGUAGUUGGUGGGGUAAAGGCCCACCAAGCCGACGAUCUGUAGCUGGUCUGAGAGGACGACCAGCCACACUGGGACUGAGACACGGCCCAGACUCCUACGGGAGGCAGCAGUGGGGAAUUUUGGAUAAUGGGCGCAAGCCUGAUCCAGCAAUGCCGCGUGCAGGAUGAAGGCCUUCGGGUUGUAAACUGCUUUUGUACGGAACGAAACGGUGCCCUCUAAUACAGGGUGCUAAUGACGGUACCGUAAGAAUAAGCACCGGCUAACUACGUGCCAGCCGCCGCCGUAAGAC